rnacentral:rRNA from 1 species
AUUGAACGCUGGCGGCAUGCCUUACACAUGCAAGUCGAACGGUAACAGGUCUUCGGAUGCUGACGAGUGGCGAACGGGUGAGUAAUACAUCGGAACGUGCCCGAUCGUGGGGGAUAACGAAGCGAAAGCUUUGCUAAUACCGCAUACGAUCUACGGAUGAAAGCAGGGGACCGCAAGGCCUUGCGCGAACGGAGCGGCCGAUGGCAGAUUAGGUAGUUGGUGGGAUAAAAGCUUACCAAGCCGACGAUCUGUAGCUGGUCUGAGAGGACGACCAGCCACACUGGGACUGAGACACGGCCCAGACUCCUACGGGAGGCAGCAGUGGGGAAUUUUGUACAAUGGGCGAAAGCCUGAUCCAGCCAUGCCGCGUGCAGGAUGAAGGCCUUCGGGUUGUAAACUGCUUUUGUACGGAACGAAAAGACUCUGGUUAAUACCUGGGGUCCAUGACGGUACCGUAAGAAUAAGCACCGGCUAACUACGUG